rnacentral:rRNA from 1 species
AGAGUUUGAUCCUGGCUCAGGACGAACGCUGACGGCGCGGAUUAGGCAUGCAAGUCGAACGAGAAAUUUCCGAUUCGUCGGGAAGAGUAUAGUGGCGAAUGGGUGAGUAACGGGUAGGUAUCUACCCAAUAGAUUGGGAUAGCCUCAGGAAACUGAGGGUAAUACCAGAUAAGCCCCGAUUAUCGGGGGAAAGAUGGCCUCUGUUUACAAGCUGUCACUAUUGGAUGAGCCUGCUUCAUGUUAGCUUGUUGGUGAGGUAAAGGCUCACCAAGGCAAUGAUGUGUAGCCGGCCUUAACGGGUGUCCGGUCACACUGGGAUUGAGAUACGGCCCAGACUCCUACGGGAGGCAGCAGUCGAGAAUCGUCUACAAUGGACGAAAGUCUGAUAGUGCGACGUCGUGUGUGCGAAGAAGCCCUUCGGGGUGUAAAGUACUUUUUUAUGAGAUAAAGCUUCAAUAGAUUUAAUAGUUUGUUGAAGUUGAUAUUAUUAUAAGAAUAAGCUCUGGCUAACUCCGUGCCAGCAGCCGCGGUAAUACGGAGAGAGCAAGCGUUGUCCGGUUUUACUAGGCAUAAAGGGCUCGUAGGUGGCUAAUUAAGUUAUAUGUUAAAUCCCACGGCUUAACUGUGGACCAGCAUAUAAUACUGGUUAGCUUGAGUACUGUAGAAGAAGGCGGAAUUCCUGGAGUAGCGGUGGAAUGCACAGAUAUCAGGAAGAACACCAAAAGCGAAGGCAGCCUUCUAGGCAGUUACUGACACUCAGAGCGAAGGUGUGGGGCGCAAACAGGAUUAGAUAUCCUGGUAGUCCACACAGUCAACGAUGAUCACUAGGUUUUGGUGGGAUUAAAAUCAUCAGAGCUAAAGCAAAUGUAUUAAGUGAUCCGCCUGGGGAGUACGUCCGCAAGGAUGAAACUCAAAGGAAUUGACGGGGACCCGCA